rnacentral:rRNA from 1 species
UACAGAGGGUGCAAGCGUUGUUCGGAAUUAUUGGGCGUAAAGCGCGUGUAGGCGGCUUUGCAAGUCGGGUGUGAAAUCCCUCGGCUCAACCGAGGAAGUGCGCCCGAAACUGCAGGGCUUGAGUACCGGAGAGGAUGGCGGAAUUCCCCAAGUAGAGGUGAAAUUCGUAGAUAUGGGGAGGAACACCGGUGGCGAAGGCGGCCAUCUGGACGGAUACUGACGCUGAGACGCGAAAGCGUGGGGAGCAAACAGG